AUUGAACGCUGGCGGCAGGCUUAACACAUGCAAGUCGAGCGGGGGAAGGUAGCUUGCUACCGGACCUAGCGGCGGACGGGUGAGUAAUGCUUAGGAAUCUGCCUAUUAGUGGGGGACAACAUCUCGAAAGGGAUGCUAAUACCGCAUACGUCCUACGGGAGAAAGCAGGGGAUCUUCGGACCUUGCGCUAAUAGAUGAGCCUAAGUCGGAUUAGCUAGUUGGUGGGGUAAAGGCCUACCAAGGCGACGAUCUGUAGCGGGUCUGAGAGGAUGGUCCGCCAGACUGGGACUGAGACACGGCCCAGACUCCUACGGGAGGCAGCAGUGGGGAAUAUUGGACAAUGGGGGGAACCCUGAUCUAGCCAUGCCGCGUGUGUGAAGAAGGCCUUAUGGUUGUAAAGCACUUUAAGCGAGGAGGAGGCUACUUUAGUUAAUACCUAGAGAUAGUGGACGUUACUCGCAGAAUAAGCACCGGCUAACUCUGUGCCAGCCGCCGCGGUAA
rnacentral:rRNA from 1 species